rnacentral:rRNA from 1 species
CCUACGGGAGGCAGCAGUGAGGAAUAUUGGUCAAUGGACGAGAGUCUGAACCAGCCAAGUAGCGUGAGGGAAGACUGCCCUAUGGGUUGUAAACCUCUUUUAUGCGGGGAUAAAGGUGUCCACGUGUGGAUGUUUGCAGGUACCGCAUGAAUAAGGACCGGCUAAUUCCGUGCCAGCAGCCGCGGUAAUACGGAGGGUCCGGGCGUUAUCCGGAUUUAGUGGGUUUAAAGGGAGCGUAGGCCGGUCUUUAAGCGUGCCGUGAAAUUUUGUGGCUCAACCAUGGGAGUGCGGCGCGAACUGGAGACCUUGAGUGCGCGGAAGGCAGGCGGAAUUCGUGGUGUAGCGGUGAAAUGCUUAGAUAUCACGAAGAACCCCGAUGGCGAAGGCAGCCUGCCGCAGCGUUACUGACGCUGAAGCUCGAAAGCGCGGGUAUCGAACAGGAUUAGAUACCCUUGUAGUC